rnacentral:rRNA from 1 species
AUACGGAGGGUGCAAGCGUUACACGGAAUCACUGGGCGUAAAGCGCGCGCAGGCGGCUAUUUAAGUUGGAUGUGAAAGCCUACGGCUCAACCGUAGAACUGCAUCCAAAACUAUUUAGCUAGAGUGUGGGAGAGGAAGAUGGAAUUAGUUGUGUAGGGGUAAAAUCCGUAGAGAUAACUAGGAAUACCAAAAGCGAAGGCAAUCUUCUGGAACACUACUGACGCUGAGGCGCGAAAGCGUGGGGAGCAAACGGGAUUAGAAACCCCUGUAGUCC